UACGUAGGGCGCAAGCGUUGUCCGGAAUUAUUGGGCGUAAAGAGCUCGUAGGCGGUUUGUCGCGUCUGCUGUGAAAACCUAAGGCUCAACCUUGGGCUUGCAGUGGGUACGGGCAGACUAGAGUGCGGUAGGGGUGACUGGAAUUCCUGGUGUAGCGGUGGAAUGCGCAGAUAUCAGGAGGAACACCGAUGGCGAAGGCAGGUCACUGGGCCGCAACUGACGCUGGAGGAGCGAAAGCGUGGGGAGCGAACAGG
rnacentral:rRNA from 1 species